AUUGAACGCUGGCGGCAGGCUUAACACAUGCAAGUCGAACGCCCCGCAAGGGGAGUGGCAGACGGGUGAGUAACGCGUGGGAACGUGCCCUUCGCUUCGGAAUAGCCCCGGGAAACUGGGAGUAAUACCGAAUACGCCGUAUUGGGAAAGAUUUAUCGGCGAAGGAUCGGCCCGCGUUAGAUUAGCUAGUUGGCGGUGUAAUGGACCACCAAGGCUACGAUCUAUAGCUGGUCUGAGAGGAUGAUCAGCCACACUGGGACUGAGACACGGCCCAGACUCCUACGGGAGGCAGCAGUGGGGAAUCUUGGACAAUGGGCGCAAGCCUGAUCCAGCCAUGCCGCGUGAGUGAAGAAGGCCUUAGGGUUGUAAAACUCUUUCGCCGGAGAAGAUAAUGACGGUAUCCGGAGAAGAAGCCCCGGCUAACUUCGUGCCAGCAGCCGCGGUAAGAC
rnacentral:rRNA from 1 species